rnacentral:lncRNA from 13 species
AUGAACUUAAAACCUUUUACUGCACAAUGGAGCUCUAGCCUUCCAUUGUUAGUGUACGGAGCAGGCAGGUUUCAUGUCCUCUACCACACACUCUUAACAGACANGUUUCAUGUCCUCUACCAUACACUCUUAACAGACAGGUUUCAUGUCCUCUACCACACACCUCUACCAUACACUCUUAACAGACAGGUUUCAUGUCCUCUACCAUACACUCUUAACAGACAGGUUUCAUGUCCUCUACCAUACACUCUUAACAGACAGGUUUCAUGUCCUCUACCAUACACUCUUAACAGACAGGUUUCAUGUCCUCUACCAUACACUCUUAAAAGACAGGUUUCAUGUCCUCUACCACACACUCUAACGGCUGGCUGUAUGUGUCAACAAGCCUGCUCCAGUCCCUCUUUAUGAACCGUGUGAAGAGACGGUGUGGGUAGAAAUAACCACUAAAGCAGACUGACUGUUGAACCAACCCACUGAGGCUAUAAAACAUAAAUGCAGAAAAUAAAGGAAACACCAACGAUCACUCAAGUGUUUCCAUUAUUUUGUAAAUUGCCUGUAGGUCGGAGCAUAGCAGACACACAGAGGAGUCAAUGGCAAUCGUAACCAUCUGGGUUUGAAAUGCCGGUUUCACAAGUCUUAAGCUCUACAUGUUGACUAAUAUACAGUAUAGUAAACGUUAUGUCGAAAUAGCUUAUUCUGCUUACAGUCAUACUGCUUAUUCUAUACCAAAGUACAGGCUUGGGGCUAUUGUAGUGACAGUAUUAAUGGCACACCGGCAGGAAUGAGUCAUGACCACAGUAAAAUUCCACGUGACCAUUGAGUCAUGGUAACUCACCUCAUUGUGAUGAUACAUUUGAAGAAAGAAGUUCAACAGCAGGUUGAAACAGUGUGAAACAUGGUUGUUGUGUAUGUUUCAAAGCCUAACAACGAAAUGGACAGGGCUUUCUAAUGAUGAUUAAUUCAAAACUCCCACAUAGUAGAGCUUAUGCAUAUGCAUAGGCUUAUAAGCCAAAGCCCCCAAUUAUGACUGUGCUGAUUAAAGAAGUAUUUGGUACAUAAUUGGUCUAGCCUAUACUCCAAAAUUAAACACAUUUGAGUAAUCGCCUUUGAGUGUGGACUGUAUUAUUAUGUAUACUGGAUGGACUGGUUACAUUAUACUAAACAACAUUUCUAUCCAUGAGUCUGGGAGAGAAUGUAGCCAUAGGCGAUGCUGUUGGUUCAUUGAUUGUGGCUUACAGUUAGCCUACAAUUAGUGAAUUUGUAAAAGAUUUUGAAUAGCCUAGUACAGUAAUGUUGUUUUUUAUGUUUUCAUAAUUCAUUGGGUGACAUUAACUUUAGCUAUACAGAAUAUCUCACCUCCAUAUGCUUCCAUCUCCUCCCCUCUCUCCUUUAUUAAUUUCUUGUGCGCGCAGAUGGGCUGUCAACAGUUUAGUGAAAUACAGUGCCUAUUCAGAUCCCUAGACUUUUUCCACAUUUUGUUAUGUUACAGCCUUAUUCUAAAAUGGAUUUAAUUUUUUUUAUCCUCAGCAAUCUAAACACAAUACCCUAAAAUGACAAAGCGAAAACAGAAAUACCUUAUUUACAUAAGUAUUCAGAUCCUUUGCUUAGAGACUAGAAAUUGAGCUCAGGUUUCCAUUGAUCAUCCUUGAGAAGUUCCUACAACUUGUUUGGAGUCCACCUGUGGUAAAUUGAAUUGAUUGGACAUGAUUUGGAAAGACACACUCCUGUCUAUAUAAGUUGACAGUGCAUGUCAUAGCAAAAUCCAAGCCAUGAGGUCGAAGGAAUUGUCCGUAGAGCUCUGAGACAGGAUUGUGUCGAGUCACAGAUCUGGGGAAGGGUACCAAAACAUUUCUGCAGCAUUGAAGGUCCCCAAGAACACAGUGGCCUCCAUCAUUCUUAAAUGGAAUAAGUUUGGAACCACCAAGACUCUUCUGAGAGCUGGCCGCCCGGCCAAACUGAGCAAUCGGGGGAGAAGGGCACUCUGACAGAGCUCUAGAGUUACUCUGUGGAGAUGGGAGAACACUAAUCAGGCCUUUAUGGUAGAGGGGCCAGACGGAAGCCACUCCUCAGUAAAAGGCACAUGACAGCCUGCUUGGAGUUUUCCAAAAGGCACCUAUAGACUCUCAGACCAUGAGAAACAAGAUUAUCUGGUCUGAUGAACUAUAUAUUCAACUAUAUGGCCUGAAUGCCGAGCGUAAUUUCUGGAGGAAACCUGGCACUGUUCCUACGGUGAAGCAUGGUGGUGGUAGCAUCAUGCUGUAGGCAUGUUUUUCAGCGGCAGGGACUGGGAGACUAGUCAGGAUCAAGACAAAGAUGAACAGAGAAAAAUACAGAGAGAUCCUUGAUGAAAACCUGCUCCAGACCGCUCAGGACCGCAGACUGUGGCGAAGGUUCACCUUCCAUCAUGACAAUGACCCUAAGCACACAGCCAAAAUAAUGCAGGAGUGGCUUCGAGUCAAGUCUCUGAAUGUCCUUGAGUGGACCAGCCAGAGCCCGGACUUGAACAUGAUCAAACAUCUCUGGAGAGACCUGAAAAUAGCUGUACAGCAACUCUUCCCAUCCAACCUGACAGAGCUUGAGAGGAUCUGCAGAGAAGAAUGGGAGAAACUCACCAACUACAGGUGUGCCAAGCUUGUUGAAUCAUACCCAAGACGACUCGAGUCUGCCAACGCAGCUUCAACAAAGUACUGAGAAAAGGGUCUGAAUACUUACGUAAAUGUGUUAUUUCAGUUAAAAUGAGCUAAAAUGUCAAAAAUCCUGUUUUUGCUUUGUCAUUAUGGGGUAUUGUGUGUAGAUUGAUCUGGAAAAAAAACUAUUUAAUCAAUUUUAGAAUGAGGCUGUAACCCACCAAAAAUGUGGGGAAAAAAUCAAGAGGUCUGAAUAGUUUCAGAAGGCACUGUGUGUUUCUUUGCUAAAACAUGCUACUAUCGAUGUUCCCAAACAGAUUUCACAUGGUUUCCCAAAUUAAGCACUGGGUAGCUGCAGGAACAAUGUUGGAGAGGUCAUGGCAUACAGUGUUUGGGUGGAAUAUCACCUGUCGGGCAGUGAGAGCAUGCUCCUCAAACAGGAAUAUCCCCUGUCGGGCAGGGAGAGCAUGNNNNNNNNNNNNNNNNNNNACCCUGCUCGCUCACGUAACCACAUUUACCCCAUCUUACCUUUCCCCUUUCUGUACUAAAUCUACAGUAGGCCUUGUGGGUCUCAAAGUAUGCUACAGACCUCACUG